rnacentral:rRNA from 1 species
UGGGGAAUUUUGCACAAUGGGGGAAACCCUGAUGCAGCGACGCCGCGUGAUUUAGAAGGCCUUCGGGUUGUAAAAAUCUUUUUUACGGGAUGAAAAUGACAGUACCGUAAGAAUAAGGUCCGGCUAAAUACGCGCCAGCAGCCGCGGUAAUACGUAUGGACCGAGCGUUGUCCGGAAUCAUUGGGCGUAAAGGGUACGUAGGCGGCCUAGUAAGUUAGAAGUGAAAUAAUAUAGCUCAACUAUAUAAAGCUUUUAAAACUGCUAGGCUUGAGAGAUGGAAGGGAAAGUGGAAUUCCUAGUGUAGCGGUGAAAUGCGCAGAUAUUAGGAAGAAUACCGGUGGCGAAGGCGACUUUCUGGUCAUCAUCUGACGCUGAGGUACGAAAGCGUGGGUAGCAAACAGG